CCCAUGGGACAGAUUACUGUAACUCGGCUCAGAAGACACGGUUCUACUCCUCCCUGCAUUUCUGCAGUGGCUUGCAGAAUAAAUUCCUCCAUCUUCCUAAACCUGCUGUAUUCCCUGAAUAAGAUUCAGGUGCAGAAAUUAGGUCCAAACAAUUGGCUACUUGUGAGAACACACACAGAGAUGAAUCAACCUGUACCCUGAACCUGAAGCCAAUACAUACACUUCCGAAGGAAGCAUCCAAAUAACAGAUCUUCCACUUUUUCUACAUACCCAGACACUGAAACUACUCAGAAGUGUGGGGAGGAGAUGUUGAGAAAUCCCUUAUUUAUCGACUCCUGGAAAAUUAGAUUCACAUGUUAUGCAUGAAUACGUUUUUCCGAAUACCUGUCUGGGGCCUCACCAGUCAAUGGCUAAGGAUGAGAAAUACCUAACUCUACAAAUGGCAAAGGAAGUAUGUGGCAAGGUGUCUGAUGAUGAGAAAUGAAGGAGGAGGAACCUCAGCUGAGAGAGCAAGAAAAUGAUGCUUCCUCGUUCAGGACAAGAGAAAUGCUCUAGAGUUUCUUCUUCUUCUCCUCCCGUACGCCACACUACGGAGGUCUGAAUACAAGGGACACAGAUGCUAAUACACCGGCUAGAUUUAUGGAAUCUGCAGUAUCUCGGGCAAGCCAUCUCAAGUCUUUUACAGAAGGAGGCAGAGGAAGCAUCCAAAAUAAAUAACUCAAAUGGCCCAUGCAGUAUAAACUAAAAUUAGGGUAAAUAAAUGAAUACUA